CGGCGGACGGGUGAGUAAUGCCUAGGAAUCUGCCUGGUAAUGGGGGACAACGUUUCGAAAGGAACGCUAAUACCGCAUACGUCCUACGGGAGAAAGCAGGGGACCUUCGGGCCUUGCGCUAUCAGAUGAGCCUAGGUCGGAUUAGCUAGUUGGUGAGGUAAUGGCUCACCAAGGCGACGAUCCGUAACUGGUCUGAGAGGAUGAUCAGUCACACUGGAACUGAGACACGGUCCAGACUCCUACGGGAGGCAGCAGCC
rnacentral:rRNA from 1 species